GCGUCACCAGUCGAGAAUACUUCACACUGCGCGAAAGCGCGAUGAGGGAAUCCCAAGUGCUUGCACGUAAGUGUAAGCUGUUUCCCUGUCUAAAAAGCAGAGAGAGUAAGGGCUGGGUAAGACGGGUGCCAGCCGCCGCGGUAAGUACCUGCAGGCUCAAGUGGUGGCCGCUAUUAUUGGGGCCUAAAAACGGUCCGUAGCCGGUCUAGUAAAUGCCUGGGUAAAUCGUGAGGCUUAACCUUACGAAUUCCGGGUAGACUGCUAGGACUUGAGACCGGGAGAGGCUAGAGGUACUCCUGGGGUAGAGGUGAAAUUCUGUAAUCCCAGGGGGACCACCAGUGGCGAAGGCGUCUAG
rnacentral:rRNA from 1 species